GAUGAAGAACUCAGUGAAAUGCGAUACGUAAUGUGAAUUGCAGAAUUCAGUGAAUCAUCGAGUCUUUGAACGCACAUUGCGCCCCCUGGUAUUCCGGGGGGCAUGCCUGUCCGAGCGUCAUUGCUGCCCUCAAGCACGGCUUGUGUGUUGGGCCUCCGUCCUCCUCCCGGGGGACGGGCCCGAAAGGCAGCGGCGGCACCGCGUCCGGUCCUCGAGCGUAUGGGGCUUCGUCACCCGCUCUUGUAGGCCCGGCCGGCGCUUGCCGACACAUCAAUCUUUUUUCCAGGUUGACCUCGGAUCAGGUAGGGAUACCCGCUGAACUUAAGCAUAUCAAUAAGCGGAGGA
rnacentral:misc_RNA from 1 species